AGCCGGUCGAAGGUCUUUCUGUUAUUAACAGGGAUAAUCAGCUACCUGCUAAAUCAUCCACCUGCUAUGCAAAUACUCAAACACACACACAUACCUCCAGCACGCUACUUACUGGCCUCAUAUACAAAGUUCUGGGAGAUUUGCAUCCAAACCUCACUGCAGAGAGCUUCCUGAUGAACUGAACACCUCGUGCAUCAUGAGUUUCUUUGGGAAGUUGAAAACAUCUGUACUACAUAGCGGACCACCAGCUCCACCCAGGAGAACAGAUAACAGCUCUGGAUAUGGCUGGCCAGAAGGCGAAUUUGACGAGGAAGAUUGUGAUACAUAUGAAGCUCCACCAUGUGAACGUCCCACCAUUAAAGUCCAACCGCGCCAAGUAGAGGAGAAUGUUUA